ACCCUCAAGGCAUCAAACCGCAAGCCUCGUUCAGCUGUCCAACCACCCGCACAGCCAGGCCAGUGCAUUAUUCUCCGCCGAACGCAGUCCUCGCACACGGAACGGCAACCACACAAGUCCACCACUCAAGCCAGGCGCCACCACCCUCUCCGUGUAAACACCAUCUCGGUUGCACCUCCGAAAACAGUAUACCACCCCAGCCCGAAAAUCCCCUGUUUUUAGCCACCCGAAACAGAGGUUCUAACACCAACCCGUUGUACUGCACCAUUCAAGCCAAGCCGUCGCCUCUCGCUCGGGAAGAAGGCACUGGACGCCCACAGACCACCUCGGUCGUAACCACCUUCCACGGUGAGCAUCCCUUUCGGUCUGCACACUUCUUUCUCUCCGCCUCUUGCUCGCUCACCUUACUCUCUCUUUUUCUCUCGUGCUCAGCCCAGCUCGACGGCCUCCCCACUGUGUUCCUGCUUUUUAGUCGCACCGCCACUGUCCCGCCAGCCAGCCAUCGCGCCGUACUCCUCCACACUCGCCUCGGUCUCCUGGGAGUGACGAAUAAAUUUUCUUAGUUCGGCAUUUCUGAGGAAAUUUUCGAAAAGCUAAGAAGUCCAGAUGAUAUUGACUUUCCAGCUGGGGGUCAGGAAUAGAAUUGAAGCGGGCUAGAUAUGGAGGGAAGGAUUGGGUACUUAGAGUACCAU